UUAUUGUUUGAUUCGAUUUCUUCAGUUAACAAGUUGAAAGGGAUAACAUGAAGUGUGCUGUCGCCAUAGUGCUUGCCCUGUUCGGCCUUUCAGUGGCCAAUCCAGUUGGUCAUGUGAAGGGAUUCGCGGCGAAGAGAUCCUUACGCGUUAAGAAAUUACACCAGCAUAAACCUCGAUGGAUUGGACUCUAACACAUCUAUACAACCCCGUAAUAUCUAGUUACUCAGGUUGAAGUUGAUAUAGAUAGAAUAAAGACGCACUCAUAGACCCGUUUUCUACUAAACAAUUACCAAGCUAUCCUUGAAAAGCGAGGAACUAUUUCUUAAAUGGAUUUUAGAGGUGAACAUAUCUAAAAAUGUGAGAUUGUAAUUCUGAAAAUACACAAAAAUAUGCCUAAGGUCCAAGGCCAUGUCAGUACCGGUUCUAUGUUCUACUAUCGCCCUGGGCGAGAUUAAUACAGCGCCCUAUUUUUUACCAUGACUGAGGGAAGGUAUUUAAGUGUUGUGUCAAUGUAAUUUGCAGACUUACAAGGAGUACACUCCUUUAUAUCAAGCGUCCUGGGCGGCUCAAAGCGCCGUAUCCUAACGCUGUCACUGUCUACAGUCGCGAGCGAUUAUUUGCUUAGUGAAAAUAGGGUCUAAGUAAUAUUUAUUUCACAGUCACAUCACCAGCUGUCUCAGGAUAUACAAGCGUGAUCAACCAUGGUAUAACCGUACCAGUCAUCCAAAUACCACGGGUUUAUAUUGUACCUAAAGUGCAUGUACCAAUCAUAACCUCUAUUUACCCCAGCUUGGGUCACGGCUGGUACGGUCACUGAUUUUAAUAAAUAAAUCAAAAUACUACUUCGCCAAUCGAUUUCUUUAACCAAUUGUUCAAUAAAAUGUUUACGAUCUG